GAAGCCCGCCAGACCGCCGCUGGUGCAAUCGUGGAAACACGGCACUGGAGGAACGUCCGGACUGCACAGGGCAGCGUAGCAGGUAACACCUGUCCACCGUGAGGUGAGGAUCAGAGCAACAGAGACGAGCCGCUUCAGUGCGGGUGAAACGGGCAAUCUCUACGCGCAGCAAUACCAAGUAGGCCAGCGUUGAUGUGGCUCCGCAGAGCUGGCGGGUAGGUAGCAUCGAGCCGCCGGGGCGACCCGCGGCCCAGAGUAAUGGCGGUCACGUCGGGGGCAACCCCGACGCACAGAAUCCGGCUUACGGCGGACUUCACAC
rnacentral:RNase_P_RNA from 1 species